AUGAACGCUGGCGGCGUGCUUAACCCAUGCCAGUCGCACGAAGCACUUUAACCUGAUUCUUCGGAUGAAGGUUUUUGUGACUGAGUGGCGGACGGGUGAGUAACGCGUGGGUAACCUGCCUCAUACAGGGGGAUAACAGUUAGAAAUGACUGCUAAUACCGCAUAAGACCACAGAGCCGCAUGGCUCGGUGGGAAAAACUCCGGUGGUAUGAGAUGGACCCGCGUCUGAUUAGGUAGUUGGUGGGGUAACGGCCUACCAAGCCAACGAUCAGUAGCCGACCUGAGAGGGUGACCGGCCACAUUGGGACUGAGACACGGCCCAAACUCCUACGGGAGGCAGCAGUGGGGAAUAUUGCACAAUGGGGGAAACCCUGAUGCAGCGACGCCGCGUGAGCGAAGAAGUAUUUCGGUAUGUAAAGCUCUAUCAGCAGGGAAGAAAAUGACGGUACCUGACUAAGAAGCACCGGCUAAAUACGUG
rnacentral:rRNA from 1 species